CAUUCAUGUUCCUGAAUGUGUGUUUACGUUUUCUCAGUUUUCUAAGUGUCAAAUUUCAAGAGUUAAUUUACAAGUUUUCAAGUGCCUAGGGUUUCCCGUGAGUAAUUCAAAAGGACCAUUCAUGCUCUAAUUUCCAAUAAAUCAUUUGGGAUGCUUACUUAACUUCAAUUUUUUGACUUUUUGACCCAAAAGUAACACUACACAGACAGGAAAAGAAUUUCAAACACCCGGACGUUCCAAGGGCAAAAGGGGAAUGACGUCUCGAACGCCCUCCAUCUGGUUCACAUCGACCCAAAAGAAAAUUCCAAAGGAUGGUUCUGUUUGAUAAUUUACGACCUGGAACCUGACAGGUGACUCUAAGUCCAUGGGGUUGAUAACGAUCUCGAGCACCUUGUAGGCAUGCCAGUCCACAUGAUACCAUCCUGACUCCUGGAUAACCUGAAGGUAAAUCCAGCAUCUUCCGGCAGGAAAAUUAAAAAACGGCUGAGACCCACACCCUUCACAAGGACGAGGAGCAAAAAAGUUUGAAAUUCCGACGAAAUGGAGAGUCCUCAUUUACCAUUGAUGACGAAUUGGCAGUAAUCCUUGUUGGGCACAGUUAACACACCUCCAAAUCCAACCCACAGGACCUUUAGCUACCGAAACCUGACCAAAUACAUGCCGAAUUUGAAAUGUCAACUUCAAGAAUGAUGUCUGGGACUUGUCUGGGAGGCAUAAGCAGUUCCAGUGCUGGUCUUAAAUCCCGGAUAUUUUGAAAUUUCUCUGAUAAAUAAUUCAGAGCAGCGGCGGAUCCAGGCCUUGGUCUCGGAGGGGGCGAUCGGGG